rnacentral:rRNA from 1 species
UACGAAGGGGGCUAGCGUUGCUCGGAAUCACUGGGCGUAAAGGGUGCGUAGGCGGGUCUUUAAGUCAGGGGUGAAAUCCUGGAGCUCAACUCCAGAACUGCCUUCGAUACUGAGAGUCUUGAGUUCGGGAGAGGUGAGUGGAACUGCGAGUGUAGAGGUGAAAUUCGUAGAUAUUCGCAAGAACACCAGUGGCGAAGGCGGCUCACUGGCCCGAUACUGACGCUGAGGUGCGGAAAGCGUGGGGAGCAAACAGG